rnacentral:tRNA from 1 species
UAUAUUUUGGUGUAUGACGCGCAAAAGUUUUUGAUACUUUUAGAAACAGUUUAAUUCUGUUAAAUAUAA